UCCCACAACAAGCCAGCCGUAGUGGACCACAGUGAUGGACCAGCAGCUUUUGCCACCACUGAGGACACUGCCUCCGACCAGUGGACCAGCUUACCUCUUUCAAACAUCAGACUUAAAUUGACUCGGCAAAAAUAAAAGGACCUUUUAUUCUGACAACUGUAUGUUUUUUAUUAUGCCUUUUUAGUCUAUUUUCUGCUUAUGAAGAUAAUGCUUUUAUUAGAUAUUCCCACGAGGUUAAAACUCGUAUUUUAGGAAAUAGAAGUAAUUGCUGGGUAUGUACUCAAUUUCCAGUAAAUGCAGAACAGGGACUACUAGAAUCUUUAACCAAUAAAACUGCGACCCUAUUUGAGAAUCAGGCCGGGGAAAUGUCCCAGCUGCGCCAGUUAGCUUUGCAAAACCAAAUGGCUUUAGACAUAAUGAGCCACCUUAUGAUUGGUGGGGAGCCUUAUGGAAUUGGCUGCCUGGAUUUGGGUGGGUUAAAAAACUCUUGGUGGGUAUUGUUGGGGCCAUAGUAAUCCUUAUAAUACUGUGUUGCUGUAUUCAGUGUGUCCCCUCCCUCAUAGACUCAUGUGGGUCAGUUUAUUCUUUUCCUAUUUCAGCCAAGGGCCUUACUCUCUUCGAGUUGGCCGAGGCUGAAAUUGCCAAGCGGCC
rnacentral:lncRNA from 1 species